GGAUUAAUGAGGUUGUGCAACAAUGUAGAAGAAGUCAUGCCAUCAGCAAGGUAAACUUGAGCUUAGUGAAGAACUGAGAACUUGAAUCGCAGACCUAUGGGGAAGAGAUUUAAAGCUCAGCCCUCACGUGCUGAAGAUACAAACUCAACUCGCUAUGGUUACUGUCAGCCAAACAACAGUCAACAGUGCAGUGAACCUGAGGUAGGGUAUCCAUAGCCUGCCAGACCAAACCGCAUGUGAGCUUGCUCGUAUCUGCACUGCAUCAACCCCUGCUCAGGCUAAUUUUAUUCACCUCUGAGAGUAAGUUCUCUCUGCUCUCUCCUGUUGUUGUCUUUUGAAAGGGAGCUACGCUGCUAAAUCAGCAGAUCUGCAGAACACUUGAUUCCAAGCUCUAUGCUCAGCAUCCCAAAGUAAAUGUUCCCAAGAAGCUUCUACUACUGAGACCCUGAUUAUCAUAGUCAUGGCAUUCAAUUUUGGAUCACGUACAGUAUGAAUCAACGAUGAAUAAUAUCUUUCCAGCAAGCAAGAGAAAUAUUUAACAAUAAUAUUUCUAAGAAAAGUUGUGCUCAUACUUCAGACAUUUCCUCCUGACCAGUCUGUUGGAUGGAUAGAAAGUACUGUAUCUGUGUUUAGGCUCAUUUUGUGCUGUAGGAAAUUUACAGCAGGUGAAGACAAGAGGAGCUUUAUCCUGCUGCUCUCGUCUCUGCUGUCUCCAUCUAGGGCCAGUGAGCAGGGAAAUAUCUUAUUAAAGUUUCCCCUCUCAUCCGCCUGACACAGCUCAAGUCCGGCUAUGAGGGGCUCCUUCACCAACACCUCUACGUGAAAGACAGUGUGCACAUUAUGCAGCUCUGUCGUGGAGGUCGGAUGGAAAAUUUUGCUAGGUCUGAGCUGUGCUUUCUUUGGCACCGGUGGCCUCUGGGCCAAAGCUUAUUCAUCUGUGAACUGACAGCUUCACCUUAGCCCAGGAAACUGAGGAGCUGGAUUCCCCGGAUCGCCGAUCUACUGGGGGAAUGUUCAUGAAAUGUUCUUGAAUGAUUUACCUUGUAAUGUAAGGUCAAAUGUUUUGAGGAAAUUGCCUUUGUGUGCCCUUUUGCCUUUAUAUGAUAAAAUUUGCCUCACAAGGUGUGUUAAACAUAUACUUCCUGGUUAGCAUAAACCAGAACUUGCUAAAAUGCUUAAAAAGUUGUGUAUGUUCUUUUUUUCCUCAUGUUUUUCACUGUCCUACCAAACCAUGGCAUCAAAGUCAAAGAGACAGAAUUUAGCAAUUAGGCUUUUUCUGUUUUUGUCAAGAAAGCAACUGGUUGGGAAAUUACAAGGCAGCAGGUAGUGGCAACACCCGUGUCACCUCCCUCUCUCUGCUAACGUCACGUAUUUGGCAAUCGCUCCCCUGUUUUCAGUAACACCAGUUUGGCUGCACAAAAAAUAUUUGUACAAAAGUAACAUUCUUUUCUCAUUCAUUUUUCUGUGAAUUUAUCUUAAGAGAGAUUCAAGCAAAAAAAAACAUGAAGCCAAGAUAAGCAAAGCUGUGACUUGCUAGUAAAACAAGUGCAAUAUUGUUCUGCUUGUGAGUCUGUGGGUGUCACAAUGAGUUGCCUGACUGUGUUGCUGUACGGUAUCAUUGUGGUAUUAACAUGGACUAUCAGAGGCAGUUGGAGUCAAGGUCUCUUCAGGUCAAGCUUCCACCUUGGCCCUGUGGUAAUGAGAAACAGUCUACCAGGACUAUUUCUACCUUCCAUCUCUAGUAUUUUCUCGUCUGCCCUCAGGCUCCUAGAGAAGAUUAAAGCCAGAAACAAGACAAGACACCCUGCGUCUACUGGUAGUCAGCACACUGUUCAAGUUGUGCAAUUCAAAAACAGAUGCAGUGAUUUGCUGUCUAGGCCUUGAAAUAAUAAUAAUCAGUCUUACAUAAUACAAACCUCUAUACAGUGAGGGCACAAAGCCAACUGGUCACUCAAACAAACAAAAAUUCACUCUGUAUUUCAUAAGGAGCUGUGAACCCAGAGUCAGAGAACAUGGAGGCAGUAUUCAGGGUGUAACAUAUGUUGAGUAUUUAUAUUGGAUUUCAUAAAACACUGGUAUUUCCUGGUAUUUUGUGUCCGAGAGCUUUGGCAUCUCUACAGAAAUUCUUCUAAUAUGUUACACAACAUGUUACAGUGCUGUGGUUGCAAGUUUGCUUGGGGUCCGUGCCUGUCAAAAUGAAGGCUGUCAUCAAGUCAAUGAUGUACCAUUGCAGGUAUAAGCAUAGUAAUUACCUUGACAGCAAAGGUCUUCAUUACUCAUACUUGGAGGUUGUACUUUUCAGCUCAGCAUAUGCAAACUCUUUAGCACUAAUGCUGGGAUUUUCCAAUGGCGGCUGCAUCUGCCAUGACAUGGCUUUUCUUGCGUGGGGAAACGUUCAUGUCUCCUCUAACAUCUGGUUUUACGACGGCUUCAGAUGCCUGGCUGGUUGCGGUUGUUUACGUACAUUCUGAGGCCUUUGAGGGAUUCAAUUGACCCGCUAAAUGACAGAAGUAGAAUCAAACCAAGAUAAUUAUUUGCAUAUGAAAUUAGCUUGCCAACACAAGUACAUUUGAUGCAGGAUGUGUUAGGAGGGAGGUGAUCUUGUUUUCUCUAAACAAGAUGGCACGUGGGUGUUUGGGGGAAGCCUGCCAUAAGCCUCCAUAUGGUCUUGUUCUGACUUACCCUUCAUGUGUCUACACUGAAGGGCCCAUAGGGACAGAGCGUCAGGGCGAGGAGGCAACUGCUGAGGGUUGGUUGAGUUCAAGAGGCUGCAUGUAUGGGUAAUCACUACUGUCCUGCUCUUUCAGGCGGUUGCUUCAACACUGCUGUUGAACUACAUAUCUUUAAUGUAACUAGACAGAGGGAGAGAACUCAUCUAUUGUUCAGCACUGAACAAAGUUUGCCAGCGGGUUGCAAGCGCGUGUUUUAUAACCUCAUCUCACCAUACAUUCUGGCUGACGAUAGCGUGGCUCUAAGACCGAAGCCCUGUCUCCUCACUUGAAACAGCUGAUUUAUGUCUGGUCCUGGACACUUGUGCUCUGUGGCUGGAAUGCAGGGAAUUUCAAAGACCCCUCCUCUGCCUGUCCCGUCCACAUGCAAACAAAUGGAGCAGGCGCCUGGUUGGGCAGAUGAAGGCCCACCGGUGCUCCCACUGCAGGGCAGAGAGGCAGAAUGUAAGGAAUGUCAGAGGCGAGAAAAUAAAUCCAUUCUAUCCUUUUUUCUGUCAAUCUGUAGCUCUUUCU